rnacentral:lncRNA from 1 species
CCAUGCCCGGCUAAUUUUGUAUUUUUAAUAGAGACGGGGUUUCAUGUUGGCCAAGCUGGUCUCGAACUCCUGACCUCAGGUGAUCCACCCGCUUCGGCCUCCCAAACUACCGGGAUUACAGGCGUGAGCCAUCCCAUCCUGCCUCCAUCUUGUUUUUAUCCUCUAUGGCACCAUCUUGCACAAGUUUGAAGUCAUAGGCUUUUUUCACAAUAGUUCACAGGUGAGAUGAUUCACUUAGAGUUCCAGUAUAGAACACAAAUUCCUUGCUCUGCCUUCAAGCCACAACAUUUAUCCCCCAGCAAAUAAAAGAAGGUGAGAGAAAUGAAAACACUUCUACUCUCAUUGACUGGAACAAUCCAGAAUUUCAAUAUAGGGUGACAAGGAACACCUUCACUUUUGAAAUUGUUCUCAAAUAAACUUGCUUUAUUUGCUCUCAGAUCUUGCUCUCAGAUCUCCUGUAUCCCUAAGGGGCUGGGCUGGGCUAAGACCUGUAAAAAGAAAAGUACAUUGUCUGAAAUUUACUUGAUGAGUCAGUGGAACACAGAAAAGCAUUUCUACCAAGAUAAGAAGCCUCACUCAUGGUUUCCUGAGGCAUCUGAAGAAUGAAACACCUCAGGGAAGACAGAGAAGAGGUCACGUGAACACACCAAAAAGAUGGCCAUUGUCCAUGAGCUGGAAAGAGAGCCCUCACCAGAACCCAGCCAUCCUGCACCCUGAUCAUGGACUUCUAGCCUCGAGAAUUGUGAGAAAAUAAAUCUCUGUUAUUUGACUACCUGUGCUAUGGCAUUUUGUUA